rnacentral:rRNA from 1 species
UGCAAACUAAAUUAAAGUGAAACCGCAAAUGGCUCAUUAAAUCAGUUAUGGUUCAUUAGAUGCUACACCACAUUUACUUGGAUAACUGUGGCAAUUCUAGAGCUAAUACAUGCAAACAGAGUUCCCACCGGAAACGGUAGGAACGCUUUUAUUAGAUCAAAAUCAAUACGUUUGUUUCGGCGAACGAUUGAAUUGGUGACUCUGAAUAACUUUUUGAUGAUCGCAUGGUCCUAGUACCGGCGACAAAUCUUUCAAAUGUCUGCCUUAUCAACUGUCGAUGGUAGGCUCUGCGCCUACCAUGGUUGUAACGGGUGACGGGGAAUCAGGGUUCGAUUCCGGAGAGGGAGCCUGAGAAACGGCUACCACAUCCAAGGAAGGCAGCAGGCGCGCAAAUUACCCACUCCCGGCACGGGGAGGUAGUGACGAAAAAUAACGAUACGGGACUCAUCCGAGGCCCCGUAAUCGGAAUGAGUACACUGUAAAUACUUUAACAAGUAUCCAUUGGAGGGCAAGUCUGGUGCCAGCAGCCGCGGUAAUUCCAGCUCCAAUAGCGUAUAUUAAAGUUGUUGCGGUUAAAAAGCUCGUAGUUGGAAAUGUGUCCCGCACUGUCGGUGCGCCAUUUAUGGUGUUUACUGACAUGCUGCGGGACGUCCUGUCGGUGAGAUUGGUUACUACUAUUUGUAUACGUUUCAUUUUAAUUCUUUAAGAUGAACGUUACUUAUGGUAUGUUAAACAUUCUCUUGUCACCCAUCGCGGUGCUCUUUACUGAGUGUCGCGGCGGGCCGACACAUUUACUUUGAACAAAUUAGAGUGCUAAAAGCAAGCCCAAACGCCUGAAUAUUGUGUGCAUGGAAUAAUAGAAUAGGACCUCGGUUCUAUUUUGUUGGUUUUCUGGACCAGAGGUAAUGAUUAAGAGGAACAGACGGGGGCAUUCGUAUUGAGACGUUAGAGGUGAAAUUCUUGGAUCGUCUCAAGACGGACAGAAGCGAAAGCAUUUGCCAAGAAUGUUUUCAUUAAUCAAGAACGAAAGUUAGAGGUUCGAAGGCGAUCAGAUACCGCCCUAGUUCUAACCAUAAACGAUGCCAGCCAGCGAUCCGCCAAAGUUCCUCCGAUGACUUGGCGGGCAGCUUCCGGGAAACCAAAGCUUUUGGGUUCCGGGGGAAGUAUGGUUGCAAAGCUGAAACUUAAAGGAAUUGACGGAAGGGCACCACCAGGAGUGGAGCCUGCGGCUUAAUUUGACUCAACACGGGAAACCUCACCAGGUCCGGACACCGGAAGGAUUGACAGAUUGAUAGCUCUUUCUUGAUUCGGUGGGUGGUGGUGCA